rnacentral:lncRNA from 1 species
UGACAUCCCAGGUUUGGGGCACAACACCUUAGGCGAAUCCCACAUCGGCUACGCACAAGGUGAAAGUCCUAUACAUAAAGGGUGGCAACCUUGAACAUGGUAGACGCGUUUUGGGCUGGCAGAGUGGAGGUUUCUCUGGCCCAAAAACAAAACCGUGCGGGCUUGUGUGGCCCAAAGCGGACAAUAUCUACCAUGGGCUGGGCUGUUACAAUUUGGUAUCAGAGCCAAGCCUUGUCCCUCUGGCCGGUGGUGGGGCAAACCUCAGCGAGGACACUGAGUCCCUAAGGGGGGGUGUAUGUGACAUCCCAGGUUUGGGGCACAACACCUUAGGCGAAU